CUGAGAUGUAACAAUUAGUUUUAGGAAGUGCCUACUUCUGUGAGCAAAUAAUCAAUUACCUGUCAUAGCAGCCACUCUUUCCUGAAACUGCCUUCCAACCAGGUGUGCAGUUUCUGAAAUUCUACCAAUGGCUUUACUUCCUCCAGGUGUCUUCUGGAGGAGUAAGGAACCGUGACCAGACAGACACAAAUACAUAUGGCCAUUAGUAAUAUCAUUACCAAGCUAACUACAGGAAUCCAGGGCAGUAUGCAGGCAUAAGAGGUCCAGGAAGAGCAGAACAGAAGACAGUUGUGUGGAGAGCAAGUGAAGAGAGGCACUGAAGACAAACUCUCCCAUCCUUCUGACUUUACCUGGUCCCAGUCCUGGGUGAGCAACUCACAUAACCUUAGGCUUUGAGAUGGUUUGGCCUAUCAUGGGCCCUGAGAGAAUAUUGGACAAAAAUGUUGUUCUUUAGAGUUUAUGGAGAAAGAAACAGAAACAGGAUUUGGUUAUUAUUUUGAAGUGGGCAGAAAAACUGAGGAGCAACCUAACUGCACCAUUCAAUAGAUUAUAAUGCAAACAAGGACCAGAAAUGGCUACUGUCAGAAGUGAGUGAGAAACAAAGCCUGGGGAAAGGAUGUAGGAUCACAGGAGGUGGAACUGAUGGGAUUAAUAAGAAACCAGGCAUGAGAAGCCAUGCAGAUGUAAAUUUGGAAAUCAACAUAUUGAUAGUUGGAGUCACUGGAGUAGGAUGUCUGCCAGCUCCUCUCCAGCCACCCAUUCUCAUAGCGGGUGAGCCAGACCACAUCUGCUAAUCCAGGAGCACAGCUCAGGACUAGUCUAUGCGGAUGGAAUCUCUCUCCAGCCUUUUCUCUAUGUCAGUUUUAUCUACCUGGCAAGAAAAAACAAAAACAACCCCAAAACAACCCCUCCCCACAAACACAACACAAAACAAGGGACUCGAAAAGUUGGAGAAAACCUUUUAAUGUGUUUCUGUAAAAUCCUUUCUUAGGAGGUUUAGUACAGGUACUACCCAUCAGCAACUUAGCCGGCCAGGUGAGUUGGUGCAGAAGGGCUUCGGCUGAAUUUAUACCAGAGCCAUCGGGAGUGACUUGGCCACCUCUCCCAAUUACCACAAGGAAGUCUUAAAAUUGAAUUUCAGUUUCAGCAGAUACUUCAGAUUUACCUGAGCAAUAUCAUAGACAAUGUACUCAUUAUAUAGUAGACAAGUGUCAUUCACACCAGAUGAAAUCCCAGUCCCAAGAGGAACCUCUGCACCAUCCAGAGUAAUACUAGCUGAAGGGUCAGGGGUAGUUUUGCCCAAACCUUUGACACUGUGCUUGCCCUUGGGUAACUUGCUGAUAUGUGAAGCGUGCUUCAGUUCAUACAUUUUCCAAGGGCAACUUCUCCCAACAGGAUUAAGCCUGUUGGGCCUCCCUGAGAUGUAUGGCAGUAGUUGGCACUCUUGGAGGCCAUGUCAGCGAAAUAGAUCCCUUUACCAAACAUGUAGCCCGUCAUGGGCACUUCAGGCGGGGCUAUCCAAAGACC
rnacentral:lncRNA from 1 species